rnacentral:rRNA from 1 species
GACGAACGCUGGCGGCGUGCCUAAUACAUGCAAGUAGAACGCUGAAGGAGGAGCUUGCUUCUCUGGAUGAGUUGCGAACGGGUGAGUAACGCGUAGGUAACCUGCCUGGUAGCGGGGGAUAACUAUUGGAAACGAUAGCUAAUACCGCAUAAUAGUAGAUGUUGCAUGACAUUUGCUUAAAAGGUGCAAUUGCAUCACUACCAGAUGGACCUGCGUUGUAUUAGCUAGUUGGUGAGGUAACGGCUCACCAAGGCAACGAUACAUAGCCGACCUGAGAGGGUGAUCGGCCACACUGGGACUGAGACACGGCCCAGACUCCUACGGGAGGCAGCAGUAGGGAAUCUUCGGCAAUGGACGGAAGUCUGACCGAGCAACGCCACGUGAGUGAAGAAGGUUUUCGGAUCGUAAAGCUCUGUUGUAAGAGAAGAACGAGUGUGAGAGUGGAAAGUUCACACUGUGACGGUAUCUUACCAGAAAGGGACGGCUAACUACGUG